GGGUUGUGAGGUUAAGCGACUAAGCGUACACGGUGGAUGCCCUGGCAGUCAGAGGCGAUGAAGGACGUGCUAAUCUGCGAUAAGCGUCGGUAAGGUGAUAUGAACCGUUAUAACCGGCGAUUUCCGAAUGGGGAAACCCAGUGUGUUUCGACACACUAUCAUUAACUGAAUCCAUAGGUUAAUGAGGCGAACCGGGGGAACUGAAACAUCUAAGUACCCCGAGGAAAAGAAAUCAACCGAGAUUCCCCCAGUAGCGGCGAGCGAACGGGGAGCAGCCCAGAGCCUGAAUCAGUGUGUGUGUUAGUGGAAGCGUCUGGAAAGGCGCGCGAUACAGGGUGACAGCCCCGUACACAAAAAUGCACAUGCUGUGAGCUCGAUGAGUAGGGCGGGACACGUGGUAUCCUGUCUGAAUAUGGGGGGACCAUCCUCCAAGGCUAAAUACUCCUGACUGACCGAUAGUGAACCAGUACCGUGAGGGAAAGGCGAAAAGAACCCCGGCGAGGGGAGUGAAAAAGAACCUGAAACCGUGUACGUACAAGCAGUGGGAGCACGCUUAGGCGUGUGACUGCGUACCUUUUGUAUAAUGGGUCAGCGACUUAUAUUCUGUAGCAAGGUUAACCGAAUAGGGGAGCCGAAGGGAAACCGAGUCUUAACUGGGCGUUAAGUUGCAGGGUAUAGACCCGAAACCCGGUGAUCUAGCCAUGGGCAGGUUGAAGGUUGGGUAACACUAACUGGAGGACCGAACCGACUAAUGUUGAAAAAUUAGCGGAUGACUUGUGGCUGGGGGUGAAAGGCCAAUCAAACCGGGAGAUAGCUGGUUCUCCCCGAAAGCUAUUUAGGUAGCGCCUCGUGAAUUCAUCUCCGGGGGUAGAGCACUGUUUCGGCAAGGGGGUCAUCCCGACUUACCAACCCGAUGCAAACUGCGAAUACCGGAGAAUGUUAUCACGGGAGACACACGGCGGGUGCUAACGUCCGUCGUGAAGAGGGAAACAACCCAGACCGCCAGCUAAGGUCCCAAAGUCAUGGUUAAGUGGGAAACGAUGUGGGAAGGCCCAGACAGCCAGGAUGUUGGCUUAGAAGCAGCCAUCAUUUAAAGAAAGCGUAAUAGCUCACUGGUCGAGUCGGCCUGCGCGGAAGAUGUAACGGGGCUAAACCAUGCACCGAAGCUGCGGCAGCGACACUAUGUGUUGUUGGGUAGGGGAGCGUUCUGUAAGCCUGUGAAGGUGUGCUGUGAGGCAUGCUGGAGGUAUCAGAAGUGCGAAUGCUGACAUAAGUAACGAUAAAGCGGGUGAAAAGCCCGCUCGCCGGAAGACCAAGGGUUCCUGUCCAACGUUAAUCGGGGCAGGGUGAGUCGACCCCUAAGGCGAGGCCGAAAGGCGUAGUCGAUGGGAAACAGGUUAAUAUUCCUGUACUUGGUGUUACUGCGAAGGGGGACGGAGAAGGCUAUGUUGGCCGGGCGACGGUUGUCCCGGUUUAAGCGUGUAGGCUGGUUUUCCAGGCAAAUCCGGAAAAUCAAGGCUGAGGCGUGAUGACGAGGCACUACGGUGCUGAAGCAACAAAUGCCCUGCUUCCAGGAAAAGCCUCUAAGCAUCAGGUAACAUCAAAUCGUACCCCAAACCGACACAGGUGGUCAGGUAGAGAAUACCAAGGCGCUUGAGAGAACUCGGGUGAAGGAACUAGGCAAAAUGGUGCCGUAACUUCGGGAGAAGGCACGCUGAUAUGUAGGUGAAGUCCCUCGCGGAUGGAGCUGAAAUCAGUCGAAGAUACCAGCUGGCUGCAACUGUUUAUUAAAAACACAGCACUGUGCAAACACGAAAGUGGACGUAUACGGUGUGACGCCUGCCCGGUGCCGGAAGGUUAAUUGAUGGGGUUAGCCGCAAGGCGAAGCUCUUGAUCGAAGCCCCGGUAAACGGCGGCCGUAACUAUAACGGUCCUAAGGUAGCGAAAUUCCUUGUCGGGUAAGUUCCGACCUGCACGAAUGGCGUAAUGAUGGCCAGGCUGUCUCCACCCGAGACUCAGUGAAAUUGAACUCGCUGUGAAGAUGCAGUGUACCCGCGGCAAGACGGAAAGACCCCGUGAACCUUUACUAUAGCUUGACACUGAACAUUGAGCCUUGAUGUGUAGGAUAGGUGGGAGGCUUAGAAGUGUGGACGCCAGUCUGCAUGGAGCCGACCUUGAAAUACCACCCUUUAAUGUUUGAUGUUCUAACGUUGACCCGUAAUCCGGGUUGCGGACAGUGUCUGGUGGGUAGUUUGACUGGGGCGGUCUCCUCCUAAAGAGUAACGGAGGAGCACGAAGGUUGGCUAAUCCUGGUCGGACAUCAGGAGGUUAGUGCAAUGGCAUAAGCCAGCUUGACUGCGAGCGUGACGGCGCGAGCAGGUGCGAAAGCAGGUCAUAGUGAUCCGGUGGUUCUGAAUGGAAGGGCCAUCGCUCAACGGAUAAAAGGUACUCCGGGGAUAACAGGCUGAUACCGCCCAAGAGUUCAUAUCGACGGCGGUGUUUGGCACCUCGAUGUCGGCUCAUCACAUCCUGGGGCUGAAGUAGGUCCCAAGGGUAUGGCUGUUCGCCAUUUAAAGUGGUACGCGAGCUGGGUUUAGAACGUCGUGAGACAGUUCGGUCCCUAUCUGCCGUGGGCGCUGGAGAACUGAGGGGGGCUGCUCCUAGUACGAGAGGACCGGAGUGGACGCAUCACUGGUGUUCGGGUUGUCAUGCCAAUGGCACUGCCCGGUAGCUAAAUGCGGAAGAGAUAAGUGCUGAAAGCAUCUAAGCACGAAACUUGCCCCGAGAUGAGUUCUCCCUGACUCCUUGAGAGUCCUGAAGGAACGUUGAAGACGACGACGUUGAUAGGCCGGGUGUGUAAGCGCAGCGAUGCGUUGAGCUAACCGGUACUAAUGAACCGUGAGGCUUAACCUUACAACGCCGAAGGUGUUU
rnacentral:rRNA from 1 species